AUUGAACGCUGGCGGCAGGCCUAACACAUGCAAGUCGAGCGGAUGAAGGGAGCUUGCUCCUGGAUUCAGCGGCGGACGGGUGAGUAAUGCCUAGGAAUCUGCCUGGUAGUGGGGGAUAACGUCCGGAAACGGGCGCUAAUACCGCAUACGUCCUGAGGGAGAAAGUGGGGGAUCUUCGGACCUCACGCUAUCAGAUGAGCCUAGGUCGGAUUAGCUAGUUGGUGGGGUAAAGGCCUACUAAGGCGACGAUCCGUAACUGGUCUGAGAGGAUGAUCAGUCACACUGGAACUGAGACACGGUCCAGACUCCUACGGGAGGCAGCAGUGGGGAAUAUUGGACAAUGGGCGAAAGCCUGAUCCAGCCAUGCCGCGUGUGUGAAGAAGGUCUUCGGACUGUAAAGCACUUUAAGUUGGGAGGAAGGGCAGUAAGUUAAUACCUUGCUGUUUUGACGUUACCAACAGAAUAAGCACCGGCUAACUUCGUG
rnacentral:rRNA from 1 species